rnacentral:tRNA from 2 species
GCGGGCGUGGCGGAAUUGGUAGACGCGCUGGUUUUAGGUACCAGUGACUUUUGUCGUGUGGGUUCAAGUCCCUCCGCCCGUACCA